UGAAAUUAAUUUGUAUAUAGUUGGAACGUUUGCCUACGUUUGCCGCCAGGGGCGCUGUUCCAACUGGAUACUUUGAGCUA
rnacentral:pre_miRNA from 1 species